GCAGUCGAACGGCAGCACGGGUGCUUGCACCUGGUGGCGAGUGGCGAACGGGUGAGUAAUAUAUCGGAACGUAUCCAAUAAUGGGGGAUAACUAGCCGAAAGGUUAGCUAAUACCGCAUACGCCCUGAGGGGGAAAGCUGGGGAUCGUAAGACCUAGCGUUGAUGGAGCGGCCGAUAUCUGAUUAGCUAGUUGGUGGGGUAAGAGCCUACCAAGGCGACGAUCAGUAGCUGGUCUGAGAGGACGACCAGCCACACUGGAACUGAGACACGGUCCAGACUCCUACGGGAGGCAGCAGUGGGGAAUUUUGGACAAUGGGGGCAACCCUGAUCCAGCCAUUCCGCGUGAGUGAAGAAGGCCUUCGGGUUGUAAAGCUCUUUCACAAGGGAAGAAAACUCGAUCUCUAAUAUAGGUUGAGGCUGACGGUACCUUGAUAAGAAGCACCGGCUAACUACGUGCCAGCAGCCGCGGUAAUACGUAGGGUGCGAGCGUUAAUCGGAAUUACUGGGCGUAAAGCGUGCGCAGGCGGUUUUGAAAGUCAGAUGUGAAAUCCCCGGGCUCAACCUGGGAACUGCGUUUGAAACUCCAAAGCUAGAGUAUAGGAGAGGGAGGUAGAAUUCCACGUGUAGCAGUGAAAUGCGUAGAGAUGUGGAGGAAUACCAAUGGCGAAGGCAGCCUCCUGGCCUAAUACUGACGCUCAUGCACGAAAGCGUGGGGAGCAAACAGGAUUAGAUACCCUGGUA
rnacentral:rRNA from 1 species